rnacentral:lncRNA from 1 species
GUUUCAGUCUUCGUGAUAACGAUUUACCAGGUUAUCAAGUACGAAUUUAAGUUCUCGCAAACAACGAUAUUUUUUGUUUAUUGAAUAUAAAUGUGUGCGAAAAAAGUAGAUAGAAACCGUGUUGACAAAAUAUAAUAAUCCAGCAGAUAAGUUUAGAUGUAUGACAAAAGCUUAAAAAUGUACGAUACGAAUACAAUGGUUAUCGGCGAAUUAUAAGCGUCGGCGCUAAUACAACGUAGAAAUUCGAUAUGUGGUUAUUGCGCGUCGUUGCAAUUUGGCGGCGUCGAUGCGAAUUUGACGAAGUUGGUCCGAAAAUUAAAGAAGAAGUGUGAGUGCAGCAAAAACUACAGGUGGUGGCGAUCGGCGUGUGUAUCACGGACUAAGAUAUGUAUAUUUGUAUAUAUCUAAUAUAUAAUAUGUAUAAUAUAUAUAUAUAUAUAUCUUAGUCUGUGAUGUGUACUCAGUCAUCAGGGAUAGGGGACGCACACCUGACGACGGCUGGCGCACCGAUAUCGUGACUACUGCGGCGAUACUGAUACCGUGUUGUGGGACGCCACCAUAGAUAAUAAAGAAUGGAUUACGUUUAAACGUAGGUAAAAGUUUCAAUUUUACAAUUUUUUAAACCUUUCAUUUACCUAUAUUACCCUGUGAUUUUUCGCAUAAUAUGGUAAGUUCUUGUUGGCGUAUGGUUGCCAAAAGAGGUCUACAUCUGAAUAGUCUGUACAUUUUUUUUCGAUUUCCACACACUAAAGAGAAAUGGGUUGAAGCCAUAAGGCGAAAAUAUUUCAAACUAUUACAAUAUAGUAGAAUUUGCAGUGUUCAUUUUACAAGCAACGACUAUCAAAUACGUCUAGAUGCAAGCGGACCACUUUUAAGAUUGAACGCUAUUUCAUAAAUAUUUCUUAAGUUUCCUGCAUACUACCAAACUGCAGUUAAGAAGCCUAGAAAAAACCCAACUAUAAGAAUUCCUACCUAAACUAAUGAUAUUGUUGAUGAUAAUAUUCUUGAACUGGCUGAACCUACUGAUGUUUUAAUUGGACCGUUUAAUUGAUGGUGAACCAAAAAAAUUAAGUGCGGGAGACUAGCCACAGAAGCUUUGGUUUUUAUGUUGGUUGGAUUCAAGGUGGUAAAAGAUGUUGGUGUUCGAGAUUGGGGAUGUUACAUGUGAUGGUGCAAGUACAAACUUAUCUACUAUGAAACAUCUUGGAUGUAAAGUUCAUGGAUCUUAUGUCUAAUCCAACACAUCGUCCAACCAAUCCAUUUGAUCGAUGUCGUGAUGCUCAAAUAUUGUGUAGAGCUAUAGAAUGGUAAGGAACUUACGAAAUGUAGACAGUAGAAGUCUUGGCCUUAAGAGUUAAUUCUCAAAGACAAUUGAAAUUCAAUUCAAGACUAAGGUUUGGCAAAGAUUUAACAUCCGAAUUGAAAUGCAAACUGAGAGGAAAUAUGAGAAAUCUGGUUGACUCAUGAUGCCUAACUAUGAAUUUCUUGCUGAAGAUGUUCACAAUUCUAUAAUUAAUGAUAUUCACACUAAGAAGAAAUAAUAAUUGAAAUCAAAUGCACUGCUUCUAAUGCUGAGAUUAAUAACAUAAAAAUGGCAUACCGUAAUUUAUUUGGAAAUCAUUUAGAAAAAUAGCUAAUGGGAAAAAUAUCAGGAAGUUCCCGCAGAUUAUUAGUGUCACAAAAGUUCUUUUUUACAAGUGAGCUACAAUUUGGAACAGACGACUGUACGUUCAACAUGAUCUUGUAUUCGGUUGAUAUCUAGAUUAUGCUCAGACAGCAGCAGCUACAAAAUUGUUGAUUGCUCUCAGAGAAUCCUAUAAUGAGAAAUUUCAAAAUACAAAAAUAAAUGGAACUGUGGUUACUAAUUUCUAAUGAAAUUAAGGGGAAAAAAUCACAAUUUUAGUGCAAGGCAGUGUGAUGAAAAGUGAUGAUGUUUACUAACUUGUUUUUGAUCUAUUGCACAAAUCAUCAGCUGCAAGACCACUGCCCGAACCUUCCAAAAUUUCAAUUUGUGAAUCAUCGAAAACUUCUUUAAGCCUAAUGGAAGAAUCUCCAACUUCUGGGCUGAUGCAAAAUUAAAUAAAACUAACAAUAAAGCACCUUCUUGGUUUAAAUAAUUUGAGGAAUUAAAAAAUGAACAGUUGAAAUCCGCAAAAGACAAUGCAAAGUAACUUAACGAUUGUCUUGAAAAGUUGGAAAAAAUGGACGAAGCUAUG